rnacentral:tRNA from 1 species
CCCUGGCUGGCUCAGUUGGUAGAGCGUGGGACCCUUGAUCUUGGGGUCAUGAGUUCGAGCCCCAUGUUGGGCA